rnacentral:lncRNA from 1 species
UAUCAAAAAAAAAAAAGAAAAUUAAAGGGAAUUAUGAUAACAGUGAUUCAUUAAGUAGAGAAUAUCAAUAGAUUGAAAUUAGUUUUUAAAAAAGAACCAAGUAGAAAUUUUAGAUUUUUAAAAGUUUAAUGUCUUGAAUGAAAAGUUCUCAACUUUACCAACAGAAUGAACUGGCAGAAGGAAGAAUCUCUGAACUCAAUGAUAAAUCAAUACAAAUUAUCCAACAAAUAGAAAACAAAGAUAAGAAGAAGAAAAAUUAACAGAAUUAAGACCAUGGAACCACAAUCAAGCAUAACAAGCAUACAUAUAAUAUGCUUGGAAUCCACAGGUAAAAGAAGUGCCUUAAAGCAGAGGGUUGAAAGGGGUAGGAAAGUUAAAGAAAUAAGUCUCAGGGUUUCUAAAUAUGAUGAAAAACAAAUCUGUACAUCCAAGAAGUUCAAUGAAAUUCAACUAGGAUGAAUAAAAAGCCAAACAAGAUUUUCAAGAGUAAAUUCUUGAAAUCAGCAAGAGAAAAAUGACUUAGGUUGGCAGCUGACUUUUCAUCAGAAACAACAAAGGCCAGAAAGCAGUGAGAUAACAUUCAAAAUACAUUUUUUUCCUCUGUGACUAAAAAGACAACUGCACAAUUAAUUGUAAAACUACAUUAGUAGUCUUAAAUAGUGAUGUAAUAUAUAUGACAGUAACACAAUGGGGAAGGAAUGGGGGUUCACUGAAGCACACUUCUGUAUUUUAUUGGAAGUUACUACUAAAACGAAGAUUGUUUAGGCAGGCAUGGUGACUGUACAUGCUUGUAAUCCCAGUGAUUUCGGAGUUUAUGCAGGAAGUUCCCAAGUUUGAGGCCAGCCUCAGCAACUUAGUGAAGCCCUAAGCAACUUGGUGAGAUCCUGUCUCAAAAUAAAAAAUAAAAAGGACUGAGGUUUUUAUUGGUGAUAAAGCACCCCUGGUUCAAUUCCUAGUACAAAAAAAUCCAAUCAAAAACAGAUUGAGGGGACUGGGGUUGUGCACUUGCCUAGCAUGUGUGAGGCACUGGGUUCAAUUCUCAGCACUGCAUAUAAAUAAAAAAUAAAUAAAGGUCCAUCGACAACUAAAAAUAUAUUAAAAAACAACAGAGUGGGGAGGGAAUGGGAGAGAAAAGGGAAAUUGCAUGGUAAAGGAAGGAGACCCUCAUUGUUAUACAAAAUUACAUAUAAGAGGAAGUGAGGGGAAAGGGGAAAAAAACGAGAGAGAAAUGAAUUACAGUAGAUGGGAUAGACAGAGAAGAUGGGAGGGGAGGGGAGGGGGGAUAGUAGAGGAUAGGAAAGGCAGCAGAAUACAACAUACACUAGUAUGGCAGUUUGUAAAAAUGUGGAUGUGUAAACGAUGUGAUUCUGCAAUCUGUAUACGGGGUAAAAAGGGGAGUUCAUAAUCUGCUUGAAUCAAAUGUAUGAAAUAUGAUAUGUCAAGAGCUUUGUAAUGUUUUGAACAACUAAUAAUAAAAAACAACAACAACAGAUUGAGGGGCUGGGGAUAUAUCUCAGUGGUAGAGUGCUUGCCUAGUAUGCAUGAGGCCUUGGGUUCGAUCUCCAGCAUCACCCCCGCUCCAAAAAAAAAAAAAAAAAAAAAAACAACCUUGAAUGACUGCUGGAUGCUGUAGUGUGCACCUGUAAUCCCAACUACUCAGGAGGCUGAGGUAAGUUCCAGGCCAGCUUGGGCAAUUUUGAGACCCUGUCAUAAAACUUUAAAAUGGCUGGAGUAUGGAUCAAUGAUUGAACACUUACCUAGCAUGUCCUGGGUUCAAUCCCCAGUACCAUAUAAAUAAAUAUUUAGAUAGAUAGAUAAAUAGAAGAGAUUGUCAGCUUCACAAAACAAAAAAUACCCAACUACUUUUUUAUAAGAGAUAUACUUUAGAUCUAGAUAGACAAGUUGGAAGGAAAACGGUUGGAGAAUAUACCAUGCAGUUAUAUAGAUAACUGAAGUAACUCUACCAACAUCAGGCAAAAUAGUCUUCAAUUCAAAAUGAAAGGGGAACAUUUUCUAAUGAUGCAAGGAUCAAUUUAUCUGUAAUGUAUAACAAUUAGAAACUUGAAUGUACUUAACAGCACAGCAACAAAAUAAGUGGAACAAAAAAUGACAAAUGAAAAAUAAAAAUUGUCAACAAUAACUGAGAUGGGGCUGUGGCUCAGUUAUAAAGCACUCAUCUAACACAUGUGAGGCACUGGGUUCGAUCCUCAGCACUACAUAAAAAUAAAUAAAAGUAUUGUGUCCAUCUACAACUGAUGAAUUUUUUAAAUAAAAAAAUAAUAAUUGGAGUCCUCAGUAGGCAAUCAUCAGUGUGUGUUAUCAUCAAGAGAAAAACUUUACGGUAAUUUAACAGGGAACAAUUAAUAAAAGUAGUUAGUACUAUAUUACAAAGAAUUAGAAUAAGGAGGGAUUAGCCAGCAAAUAAUAAUAAAAAAUUUAAGAUUAACAGAUAUAAGAAGUGUUCCUUAAUAGGCGCAGUGUUGCACACCUGUAAUCCCAGCAGCUUGGGAGGCUGAGGCAGGAGGAUCCCAAGUUCAAAGCCAGCCUCAGCAAUGGUGAGGUGCUUAGCAACUCAGUGAGACCCUGUCUCUAAAUAAAAUACAAAAUAGGGCUGGGGAUGUGGCUCAGUGGCCGAGUGCUCCUAAAUUCAAUCCCUGGUACAAAAAACAAGAAGUGUUCCUUGAGCCGCAUGUUGAGAUUGAGAACCCAAUUUAGAUACUCUACCUUAUAAGACUGAGAUUCAUUCUUUGUUAGAGGGAUUGUUGCUGGUGAGUCACUGAAAAAAGUCAAUACUAUCUAUGCAUGCUGAUACUUGGCUAUAUUAAUUUCUACAUAAAAUUUUUAAUCAGCCUCUUCAUUUCUACAUACCUGCUGGAAAAGAGAUGUUAUUCAGUCUGUAGUUCAACAGUCUACAGGUCAACUUGGAAAGUACUGGCAUUUUAGGAAUCAUCUAAUCCAUAUAUGUUAUAUAAUCAAUAAAAAUUGUCAAAGAAAAAUGCUUUAUUGAAUCUGGCAUAAUAGUGAUCUUUUGAGUUGUAAGUAAAUAACUAAAUAUUGAGGAAAUAGUGCUCUUCUAAGACUUUAAAGUACACCUAUAUUAAACGUUUUUUUCUUAAAGGGAAUAUACCUAGAAUAUUUAUUGAACACUCAAGAGUUUGGUACCUUGCAGGCAAUAUGAUGUUGCAUGCUAUUUUAUUGAGGAAAGAAACUCUGGCCACACACACUCCCAUAAUCAUAGCCAUUUGGGAGAGUUAAGAUUAGAGGCAGGAGUAUCACAAGUUCAAGGCCAGCAACUUAAAGAGACUUAUAUCAACAACUUAUAGAGACUCUGUCUCAAAAUAAAAAUUAAAAAGGGCUGGGGAUGUAGUUCUGUGGUAGAGUGCCCUUAGUUCAAUCCCCAGUACAAAGAAAAACUUUAUUAUUU